CCUACGGGGGGCUGCAGUGAGGAAUUUUGGUCAAUGGACGAGAGUCUGAACCAGCCAAGUAGCGUGAAGGAUGACUGCCCUAUGGGUUGUAAACUUCUUUUAUAAAGGAAUAAAACGAGGCACGUGUGCCUUUUUGCAUGUACUUUAUGAAUAAGGAUCGGCUAACUCCGUGCCAGCAGCCGCGGUAAUACGGAGGAUCCGAGCGUUAUCCGGAUUUAUUGGGUUUAAAGGGAGCGUAGAUGGGGUGUUAAGUCAGUUGUGAAAGUUUGCGGCUCAACCUUAAAAUUGCAAUUGAUACUGGCAGUCUUGAGUACAGUUGAGGUAAGCGGAAUUCGGGGUGUAGCGGUGAAAUGCUUAGAUAUCACGAAGAACCCCGAGUGCGAAGGCAGCUUACUAAACUGUGACUGACAUUGAUGCUCGAAAGUGUGGGUAGCAAACAGGAUUAGAUACCCUAGUAGUC
rnacentral:rRNA from 1 species